UCGAGUAUUGAAUUCAGAUUCUGCCAUCUGCUAUGGUAGGAUUUGAACCUGGGUUCCCAGAGAAUUACCCUGGGUCUUGGGAUUAUUAAUCCAGUGACAAUA